rnacentral:rRNA from 1 species
UACGGGGGGGGCAAGCGUUGUUCGGAAUUACUGGGCGUAAAGGGCUCGUAGGUGGCCAACUAAGUCAGACGUGAAAUCCCUCGGCUUAACCGGGGAACUGCGUCUGAUACUGGAUGGCUUGAGUUUGGGAGAGGGAUGCGGAAUUCCAGGUGUAGCGGUGAAAUGCGUAGAUAUCUGGAGGAACACCGGUGGCGAAGGCGGCAUCCUGGACCGAGAUUGACGCUGAUGCGCGAAAGCCAGGGGAGCAAACGGG